UAACGCGUAGGUAACCUGCCUUGUAGCGGGGGAUAACUAUUGGAAACGAUAGCUAAUACCGCAUAACAAUGGGCGACUCAUGUCAUUUAUUUGAAAGGGGCAAAUGCUCCACUACAAGAUGGACCUGCGUUGUAUUAGCUAGUAGGUGAGGUAACGGCUCACCUAGGCGACGAUACAUAGCCGACCUGAGAGGGUGAUCGGCCACACUGGGACUGAGACACGGCCCAG
rnacentral:rRNA from 1 species